ACAGGAGCACGGGAUGCUGGAGGGGCAGGGAGAAGCCAGAAUGACCGGAACACCAGAAAGAAGCCAGCCAUCUGUGGAAUUUCAUGGCUGCCGCACCAUGAGUCACACUCCUCAAGUGGAUGCUGAAUAUCUCCAACAUGUCACUCCUGAAGUGAGGACACUGGGACCGGAAGAAGCCCGCUUGCACAAUGAUAAGGAAUGACACAUCCUGUCCUCAAAGUCUACAUUCUUAACUUCGUACUUAGCCAGAAAAGCUGCCCAGGGUUUGGCUCUGAAGGUCAUGUGGGCUCAGUUCUUAAUGUCAGAGAACUGGAGUUGCCUGACAUUAGACAAGAGGAUGACCUAUGAGGCUGUCGAUGGACUCAGAUUGAUGUAGGAGGAGACACUGCGAGGGAGAAGGGAUGUGAAUAACUGCAUUACAGAGGGAACUGAGCAAAAGGUGAGAGAGCAGAAGGGAAAUAUACAAAUAUGAGCAGAGACUGGGGAAAUUGUUUGGUGAUAAAUUCAAGCAAAACCAAAAUCAUAUAAUAAAUAUGUGUGUCACCAUUGCUCCAGCUACAGGCUGAUUGAUGUAUUAUGGAAAUGGUGUAGACAUAUAUAAUCAUCUUCAAACAAAGAUGCACAUUUUCAGUUACACAGGGAUCCGUAGCCUUCUCCAGUGAAAUAGUUCCAUGCUGCUCAUCUUGAUGCUGUGUUCUAGCAAUAUCUAACUGCUGGCAAUUUCCCCAAGACACUUCCUUGUUUCGUGCCUCAGUGCCUUUGCACACAUUGCUUUUCUCUACCUGGAUUGCCCAUCUCAUCAAGCCUGAUGAAAAUCCCGUUUGCUCAUCCAAACUUUGAUUAGGUGCCUCCACCUGUGUAAAGCCUUCCACCUGAGGGCAACCUUGUCUUUCUGGGUGCUACCAUUGAAUAAAAUGUAUACCUCAACUAUUUUA